rnacentral:rRNA from 1 species
GUACGUAGGGUGCAAGCGUUGUCCGGAAUUAUUGGGCGUAAAGAGCUCGUAGGCGGUCUGUCGCGUCUGCUGGUGAAAAACUCAGGGCUUAACCCUGAGCUUGCAGUGGGUACGGGCAGACUAGAGUGCGGUAGGGGAGAUUGGAAUUCCUGGUGUAGCGGUGGAAUGCGCAGAUAUCAGGAGGAACACCAAUGGCGAAGGCAGAUCUCUGGGCCGUAACUGACGCUGAGGAGCGAAAGCAUGGGGAGCGAACAGG